AUACGGAAGGUCCGGGCGUUAUCCGGAUUUAUUGGGUUUAAAGGGGGCGCAGGCGGAGAUGCAAGCGUGACGUCAAAUUUCGGGGCUCAACCCCGUCUCGCGUCGCGAACUGCGUCCCUUGGUUGCGGGAAGGGGAGGCGGAACUCGUGGUGUAGCGGUGAAAUGCAUAGAUAUCACGAAGAACUCCGAUCGCGAAGGCAGCCUUCCGGCCCGUCAACGACGCUCAUGCUCGAAGGUGCGGGUAUCAAACAGGAUUAGAUACCCUGGUAGUCCGCACAGUAAACGAUGGACACCCGCGGUUUGGCCUAUAUGGCUGAGCCGCCAAGCGAAAGCGUUAAGUGUCCCACCUGGGGAGUACGCCGGCAACGGUGAAACUCAAAUGAAUUGACGGGG
rnacentral:rRNA from 1 species